rnacentral:tRNA from 1 species
UUUUAUAUAGUUUAGAAAGAAUAUUAUAUUUUCAAUAUAAAGGUAAUUAAAUUAAAUUUAUAAAAU